rnacentral:lncRNA from 1 species
ACAGUUUAAGUAGGUGUCUUUUCUGGUAUCCCAGUUGAGAUGAUUAUUUUCUUUACCAUGAAACAGAAACUGAAAGUUAUCUUUCUUUUUUCUGAAGUGAUGUUCCUUGUUUUUUUUUUGACAGUUAUGUCCCAGUGCAUUUGUGUUUUGAGCACAGAACAAAAAAAAACUAAAAUGUUCUUCAAUGAAAAGAUGCUUUUCACACUGGAAUUGACAUUCCUCUCUCUCUUGAGUCCAAAAGCUGACUCAUCAUGCAUGAGUCCCAGGCAAAACUGACCCUUCAUUUCACAUUUUUCCAAGAGAAAGACCGAAUGUUUAUGGACUAUUGUCUUUUGUCGAUGCCUUCUCUCCAAUUCCUUAUGGCACCCUAUAUCUUGUUUUUUUUUUGUUUCAAUGUUUUAUGCUGCAGAGGACAAGAAUCUCUGGUCCAGAUGGUACAAUAUUUUUUAUUAUUUAUUUCUCCUUCUAGUAUGUUACUCUCCCUCCAAAUUUCUUUCUCUGUUUUUUUGAC